rnacentral:rRNA from 1 species
UCUAAGCACAUGCCUUAAUACGGUGAAGCCGCGAAUAGCUCAUUACAACAGCCAUCGUUUAUUAGAAUAUCGUUAUCCUACUUGGAUAACUGUGGCAAUUCUAGAGCUAAUACAUGCAAUAAAGCUCUGCCCGCAAGGAACGAGCGCAUUUAUUAGAAUAAAAACCAAUCGGGUUUCGGCCCGUAAUUUGGUGAAUCUGAAUAACUUUGCCAAUCGCACAGUCCUAGUACUGGCGAUGUAUCUUUCAAGUGUCUGCCUUAUCAACUUUCGAUGGUACGCUAUACGCCUACCAUGGUAGUAACGGGUAACGGAGAAUAAGGGUUCGACUCCGGAGAGGGAGCCUGAGAAACGGCUACCACAUCCAAGGAAGGCAGCAGGCGCGCAAAUUACCCACUUCCAGAACGGAGAGGUAGUGACGAAAAAUAACGAGACAGUCCUCUUCGAGGUCUGUCAUCGGAAUGGGUACAAUUUAAA